rnacentral:tRNA from 1 species
GUUCAGUGGUAGAAUCCUUGCCUGCCAAGCAGGUGACCUGGGUUUGAUUCCUGG